rnacentral:lncRNA from 1 species
CGUGGGGGGGGGGGGCAGGGAGGGGGCGGCGCCAUCUUGGGGAGGUCGCCGCGCGCCUCAGGGAGGCGGGCGGGAAAGCCCUGAGGGGGAGCCGGGGUAUGGCUGCCCGCGGUGAGGCGGCCCCGGCCAUCCCCGUGGCGUUUUGCUGUCAAAAAACAAAAAAGCACGUUUCGCAACGUUUUGGCCCGCCGCUCGGGCGUCCCUUCCCACCUCCACCACCCCCAAACCCUAGUUCGGUGGUAGGAGAAGCCAUAUUGCUGAGCUAAUCCGGGUUUAAAAAUAACGCAAAAUAACACGAAGCUGCUCUUUCUGAUACAUGAGGUCUAACAUUUUCUUGUAUUGUCACAUCAGGGCUCAGAGACCUGUACUGGGACCGCGGCCCUGUCACAGGAAGGUGUCCGCGUUCGAGGGCAGCCUGUGGUUUCAGUGGGAACCUGAAGUGAGGGAGUCUUAAGGAGGGGCUUCACACUGAUGCACCGAAACCGACAAAUUGAAGAUGUGUUCUCCUCAACUAAAGAAUGGCGUGGAAAGUGCAGCGUGGACGGGUGCUCAAGAGAAAAGACGUCAGCCUACCAUCUGUGCCUAGUAGAAACCUCUUCCAUGGGGCAGGAAGUUAUGACCGCACUACGACCAUCUGAAGAUGCAAGAAUAUGGAAAGCACAGGACGAAAACCUCUCAGAGACGUGCCUCGUCUGCAGAGCCAGCCGAGGCAAUUGGCAUGCGUGUCAGGUGCUGCGGUGGGGUCAAUGCACAAAUACGAGCCCAAGGUCAGCCUCCAGUGAAGACCAGCUCAAUCGACAUUACUCCCAUCAGCUGAGCCCCUGUGGGGAGGAGAAAGACAAUUUCUUCAAGAAGUGUUUUGGAGAGACAGGUGUAGCUUUAGGACUUGCUGAACACACCAACGUGCUUGUUUCAUGACAGCAGACAUUACAAGGAACAAGAGCCUGUUAUCUCACUGGGUUUAUACAGGAAGGUUGGUCUCUGGCGUGCUGGAGAUGAAGGAGCUGCACGUGGUUGUGUAGCGGAAGACGUGCUCCUGGCAGCAGCUCUGUUCUGUUUCCUACAAAAUGUCCUAGCUGCCUCAGAGUUAAAAAAUCUGCUGCUGCCUGCUGGCACUUCCUAGCUGCCUGUGCUUGCAAGCGGUAUGAGGAGGAAACCCAGCCACUGUGCAUCUUGUAUCAUCAGGAGAGAAAAAGCGAGAUCCGUCUUUUUUCUUGCCCGUGGAGUUUUCAUGCCUCUUAAGCCCACAGAAGAGAAAAGCAAUUGAUUCACCCACUGUGCUGUCAACAAACACCCUGAUGAUUUAGCGGUUUUGUAACUGAGCAGUUUUUAAACAUUCACAGUGCAGACUGAGGAGGAAAACUACAGACACAGCUGCGUGGCUUUUUCCUUUUCUCUCUUUUUCAGAUUAAAAAAAAAAAAUGAUGCAGCCAUUGCUUUCCUUUAAUAUGAGUCUUUGCAACAGUGAUUGUUCAGUAAUGUGCAAUAAAACAGAUUUGCACAGCUCA